GGGACACGUGGUAUCCUGUCUGAAUAUGGGGGGACCAUCCUCCAAGGCUAAAUACUCCUGACUGACCGAUAGUGAACCAGUACCGUGAGGGAAAGGCGAAAAGAACCCCGGCGAGGGGAGUGAAAAAGAACCUGAAACCGUGUACGUACAAGCAGUGGGAGCACGCUUAGGCGUGUGACUGCGUACCUUUUGUAUAAUGGGUCAGCGACUUAUAUUCUGUAGCAAGGUUAACCGAAUAGGGGAGCCGAAGGGAAACCGAGUCUUAACUGGGCGUUAAGUUGCAGGGUAUAGACCCGAAACCCGGUGAUCUAGCCAUGGGCAGGUUGAAGGUUGGGUAACACUAACUGGAGGACCGAACCGACUAAUGUUGAAAAAUUAGCGGAUGACUUGUGGCUGGGGGUGAAAGGCCAAUCAAACCGGGAGAUAGCUGGUUCUCCCCGAAAGCUAUUUAGGUAGCGCCUCGUGAAUUCAUCUCCGGGGGUAGAGCACUGUUUCGGCAAGGGGGUCAUCCCGACUUACCAACCCGAUGCAAACUGCGAAUACCGGAGAAUGUUAUCACGGGAGACACACGGCGGGUGCUAACGUCCGUCGUGAAGAGGGAAACAACCCAGACCGCCAGCUAAGGUCCCAAAGUCAUGGUUAAGUGGGAAACGAUGUGGGAAGGCCCAGACAGCCAGGAUGUUGGCUUAGAAGCAGCCAUCAUUUAAAGAAAGCGUAAUAGCUCACUGGUCGAGUCGGCCUGCGCGGAAGAUGUAACGGGGCUAAACCAUGCACCGAAGCUGCGGCAGCGACGCUUAUGCGUUGUUGGGUAGGGGAGCGUUCUGUAAGCCUGCGAAGGUGUGCUGUGAGGCAUGCUGGAGGUAUCAGAAGUGCGAAUGCUGACAUAAGUAACGAUAAAGCGGGUGAAAAGCCCGCUCGCCGGAAGACCAAGGGUUCCUGUCCAACGUUAAUCGGGGCAGGGUGAGUCGACCCCUAAGGCGAGGCCGAAAGGCGUAGUCGAUGGGAAACAGGUUAAUAUUCCUGUACUUGGUGUUACUGCGAAGGGGGGACGGAGAAGGCUAUGUUGGCCGGGCGACGGUUGUCCCGGUUUAAGCGUGUAGGCUGGUUUUCCAGGCAAAUCCGGAAAAUCAAGGCUGAGGCGUGAUGACGAGGCACUACGGUGCUGAAGCAACAAAUGCCCUGCUUCCAGGAAAAGCCUCUAAGCAUCAGGUAACAUCAAAUCGUACCCCAAACCGACACAGGUGGUCAGGUAGAGAAUACCAAGGCGCUUGAGAGAACUCGGGUGAAGGAACUAGGCAAAAUGGUGCCGUAACUUCGGGAGAAGGCACGCUGAUAUGUAGGUGAGGUCCCUCGCGGAUGGAGCUGAAAUCAGUCGAAGAUACCAGCUGGCUGCAACUGUUUAUUAAAAACACAGCACUGUGCAAACACGAAAGUGGACGUAUACGGUGUGACGCCUGCCCGGUGCCGGAAGGUUAAUUGAUGGGGUUAGCGCAAGCGAAGCUCUUGAUCGAAGCCCCGGUAAACGGCGGCCGUAACUAUAACGGUCCUAAGGUAGCGAAAUUCCUUGUCGGGUAAGUUCCGACCUGCACGAAUGGCGUAAUGAUGGCCAGGCUGUCUCCACCCGAGACUCAGUGAAAUUGAACUCGCUGUGAAGAUGCAGUGUACCCGCGGCAAGACGGAAAGACCCCGUGAACCUUUACUAUAGCUUGACACUGAACAUUGAGCCUUGAUGUGUAGGAUAGGUGGGAGGCUUAGAAGUGUGGACGCCAGUCUGCAUGGAGCCGACCUUGAAAUACCACCCUUUAAUGUUUGAUGUUCUAACGUUGACCCGUAAUCCGGGUUGCGGACAGUGUCUGGUGGGUAGUUUGACUGGGGCGGUCUCCUCCUAAAGAGUAACGGAGGAGCACGAAGGUUGGCUAAUCCUGGUCGGACAUCAGGAGGUUAGUGCAAUGGCAUAAGCCAGCUUGACUGCGAGCGUGACGGCGCGAGCAGGUGCGAAAGCAGGUCAUAGUGAUCCGGUGGUUCUGAAUGGAAGGGCCAUCGCUCAACGGAUAAAAGGUACUCCGGGGAUAACAGGCUGAUACCGCCCAAGAGUUCAUAUCGACGGCGGUGUUUGGCACCUCGAUGUCGGCUCAUCACAUCCUGGGGCUGAAGUAGGUCCCAAGGGUAUGGCUGUUCGCCAUUUAAAGUGGUACGCGAGCUGGGUUUAGAACGUCGUGAGACAGUUCGGUCCCUAUCUGCCGUGGGCGCUGGAGAACUGAGGGGGGCUGCUCCUAGUACGAGAGGACCGGAGUGGACGCAUCACUGGUGUUCGGGUUGUCAUGCCAAUGGCACUGCCCGGUAGCUAAAUGCGGAAGAGAUAAGUGCUGAAAGCAUCUAAGCACGAAACUUGCCCCGAGAUGAGUUCUCCCUGACCCUUUAAGGGUCCUGAAGGAACGUUGAAGACGACGACGUUGAUAGGCCGGGUGUGUAAGCGCAGCGAUGCGUUGAGCUAACCGGUACUAAUGAACCGUGAGGCUUAACCUU
rnacentral:rRNA from 1 species